rnacentral:lncRNA from 1 species
UUAAAUGAUAAAUUUUAAUAUUUUAAAUUUUAUUAAAUAGAAAUAUGUAAUAUUUAAGAAAGAAGAUAUAUUUAAGAUAAAAAAAUUUAAAACAUUUAAUUUUAUCCUUUUGUCUUUGUAUUUUAUUGUUUUUAAAUUAUUCUAUUAAAUAAUUUAUAUUAUUUUUUAUAAUUAUUAUCAAAAUAAACAGGAAUUUAAAUAUUUAUAUUUUUUUAAAGAUUUUAUAUGAUAAAAUUUUGAAAUAAAAUCAAAGUUCCAUAACUUCCAUGCCUCCAAAGCAAUGUUUUCCUCUAAUAGUCUCAUUCCCAAUCCCACAUCGGAAGCACAAGAAUUUUAUGUGCUCCAUGUGCUCUAUAAAUGCCUUCCAACCUCUAAGCCAAACAAGCCACCAAGCUGGGCCUGGAAGCAUGGCCCGAAUUGCAAGUGUUAUUUUUAAAUAAAGAAUGCUGCAUAUUGGGCUUGUAGACAUGGCCCAAAUUAUAUGUUUUAGUCUUUUCAUUGGAUUGGGCCUUAGUGGCUUUUUCAUAGUAAAAAAAAGCCACCAAGCUGGGCCUGGAAUGGCUUUUUCAUAGUAAAAAAAACUGUUUAAGUUAUGACCGGUUUGCAAAAAACCGGACGGGUCAUCCGGUUCGACGGUCCAACCGUCGGUUUGAACAGUUCAAUGCCGGUUUGAUAACAAAACGGCUCAUUGAGCGGACCGAACCGGAUAGUUCACCUGUCGGCGGUUGGACCGGUCCGACCGGCCGGUCCGGUCCGGUUUUUAAAACCAUGGAUCCAAGAAAGACUAAUUUGAUUAAAAUAUGGUAUAAAGUGGAUUUUAGGUUUAAAUUGAGUUAAAAUGCUUUUUAAUUAAUUAAAUUAAAAAAUUAGUCGAGCAUUCAAGAGCUCUUACUUGGUACUCAAGUGCUUUGUGUGCUUAAGUGCUUCUUGAAAGCAUUCAAGCGCUUCUUAAAAACGCUCAAGCGUUAAAGGAGCUCAAGCACUCAAGUGUUCAUAACAUGCUUUUUCUAAUUACAAAUUGUGAUUUGUUUUAAUUCUUUCUACCUUCUAAAAAUUGAUUUUUUGGAAAUUUAGGAUUAUGUCCAUUAUGGUUUCAUCUAUAUAAAUACUAUGCCUAAAAAUCUUUUUGUGUGUGAUGUAAACUUUAGAAAAAUCAAGUGCUAGCUUUCUCGCAUCCCAAAAUGCUCAAAUGUUUGAUAAUUCUCAUUCUUGGGUUUCUUGAGAGAGCUUUACAUCCCGUUAAGUGUUAUUAUAGUCCACUCGGUGCAUGUGUGGUGCUACUUCAUGAGCAUGGAGACUAGUAUAGGUACUAGGGGGCAAGACUUUGGAAUAGCAUCCCUAGAUAAAUCUAUAUAUUUAAUUUUCUUUCGAUAGUAGAUUUGUGAUCAAUGGUUUCUUACCCCUUGGCUUUUACAUCCUCAUAGUCUCUAGGAGCUAGAUUUUGAGAGUGAUUUUUGUGUAAAAAAUUUUGUCUUGUACGAUUGUGUCUUGAUGAUGAGUUACACAAUAUUUCUUAUCCAACUGCUUCAAUACACGAUCAAUAGGAAGAAACAAAGAUUUAAACAUAGGCUUAUGCUAAUUAGAAAGUUUAAGGCAAGAUUCAUUAUUCAUGUAGGAGAAAUAUUCAGAUACAUUCCAAUCAAUCUUGAUUCCAUACAUCAACCAAUUUGGCAAGGGUAGUGGUGGAUGAACCCCUAUCUUUCCAAGAUGCCCAAGCCAUCUCUCUCAUUUUCUUGUUUCUUUCUCUCAGCUCCCUCCCUGUUUGAUACUCCAUUAACUCUCUCACUCUCCUCUUUAACUCAGCUCCACUCACAAACAUUCAUACACAAGCAAGUGAUCUAAAUCCGGUCUUGCCUACUCGAAGAUUUUGAACCAAAGCCUGACUUAACAUUAUUGCAUGCGUUGGCCAGACUCAACUUAGCUUGACCACGUUAAGGCAAGGGUUCGCCUACUUUUUAGCCCGAUCAUGACUCAGACAAACUUGAGCUUGACCAAACUAUCAGAAAGCCUCAUCUAGGAUUUUUUUUUUUGCCUUUAAUGGAUAAUGAAAUUAAAAUCAAAGUCAUAAAUUUUCAAGGAUAAUAUUGAUACUGAAGGAGUUUUAUUAAAUGUUAAAGAACUUUUUCAAUAGGUCAAUAUUAGUAUUGAAGGAAAUUUAUUAAAUAUGAAAGAACAUCUUGAAUAAUUCAAAAUGAGGUUGUACAGGAAGUAGCAGUUUUUUUUAUUUUUAUUUUUAUUUUUACUUUAAUGUUAACCAUAUUGGAGAAUUCUAAUUAUCUAAAAGUAUAAUAAUUUGAUUAUAAUUCUAAAAAAUUAAUAUAUGGAAACUAGAUUUGCCAAAACUAGUCUUUCGGUAGCUCCAAAUGUCCACCUUCCCACGUCAAAUUACUAUAGAAGAACAUAAAAUGGUAGUUCAGUAAAAAUCAUAAAUUUUCUUCUAAUUUAAUUAGAUCACUAAUAUUAAAUACUUUUUAAAAUCAUUUUUACUUAUUUUUGGGUUUUUAUUUAUUUAUUUAUUUACGACAGUGCAUGAGAAAUUGCUCAUCACACUAGCUUAAUUUUUAACGUCAUUUGCUUUUAGGUUAUGAAAAUUAGUAUGUUUGUAAAGUUUGAUAAUUUGACAAUUAAAGUUAUAUUUUCUAUUACUUCUUUUAAAACUUUAUAUACAAAUAUAGAUGAGGUGUACAAGGAAAUAAAUAAACCAUAUUCCUAACAUAUAGGGAAAUUACUAACNNNNNNNNNNNNNNNNNNNNNNNNNNNNNNNNNNNNNNNNNNNNNNNNNNNNNNNNNNNNNNNNNNNNNNNNNNNNNNNNNNNNNNNNNNNNNNNNNNNNNNNNNNNNNNNNNNNNNNNNNNNNNNNNNNNNNNNNNNNNNNNNNNNNNNNNNNNNNNNNNNNNNNNNNNNNNNNNNNNNNNNNNNNNNNNNNNNNNNNNNNNNNNNNNNNNNNNNNNNNNNNNNNNNNNNNNNNNNNNNNNNNNNNNNNNNNNNNNNNNNNNNNNNNNNNNNNNNNNNNNNNNNNNNNNNNNNNNNNNNNNNNNNNNNNNNNNNNNNNNNNNNNNNNNNNNNNNNNNNNNNNNNNNNNNNNNNNNNNNNNNNNNNNNNNNNNNNNNNNNNNNNNNNNNNNNNNNNNNNNNNNNNNNNNNNNNNNNNNNNNNNNNNNNNNNNNNNNNNNNNNNNNNNNNNNNNUGUCGUUGGAUGGUGGGUUCUUCACCACCCACAAGAAUCUCUUGCCACUUCUUUCCAGUCCAUUAGCUAUCUCCUUCACCUGAGCGGGCGAGAACGUUCCGUUGCUCCCGAAGCACAAGAAGACAACACUCUGACUUGGCUGUGUGUCAAGCCAGGACAAGCAACCAUGGCGAGCUACACUACCAGCAAUAUUGCUUUCAUCUUCACCAGUAUCCGCAAUCAAAGGGCCGAUGCAGUAAACUGGCGGAGUUGGCCCAUUGGGAACACAUGUCCCCUCCCUGAUUGUCUUAACGGCUAUUGGCUCAAGAUCAUGGAAAGUAUUUAUCAAAAGUCCAUCGGAUUUUGGCAAAAGCUCUGAGAAGUAUAGCAUAUCAUCAUAGGCGGGGUCGUCUCGGUUGAGCCAUGGUUCAAGCAUUCGAGUGGCUUGUAGCGGAGGCAACCCAGGAAAGUGUAAAAAUGUAGUGGGCAUGUCCUUGAAGCUCUUAUUGCUGCUCUCAUACUGUUUGUGAAUUGUCGGAAAGUAAAGGACAGCCGCAUUAACAGCAGCACCGGUGGUGAGGAAGUGGUAAGUGGGAAUUCCAAGGUCACGAGCAACAGGAAGAGCUGAAGCGCAAAAGUAGUCGAUGAUGAAUGCCCGAACGGUGGAAGUUUUGGAGAGUUGCUGGAGAGCAUGGAGGACAUUAGAGGCACUGAGACGGAAGAACUCAGAGAUGACAGCGACGAUAUUGCAAGUGGAAGAAGAGGUGUCAACCGAUAGAUAGGGGAAGCGGUGGAAAGAGAUGAAAGGAUUGGUUUGGGAGAUGUGGUCAAUGUAAGAGGUGGUGGCCGGGGUGUCAAAAGGACCAGUAGAGAGGAGAAUGAUGAUGGAGAAUCUGUGGGAGUAACGGCGAAGGAUGAGCUUGCCUAGCUCUAUCAUGGACACCACAUGGCCGAUGCCUGGACCUGGAUACAGGACUAUUGCAUCAUCCAUUGUUGCUCAGUGUUGGAUCUCUGGAUUGGACAAGCUCAGAAUGAGAACUUUCAGGUCACCUCAAUGUUAAGCUUAGUCAAAAAAAUAUUGCAAUAGCGCAUUAUUGAAUGGUCUGCAUCAAAGUGCGUGCCCACAUAUUUUUCCGGGAAAGUUGUGUUUUGGCCCGCCCAUUUGGGCAUAUAAUAGUUUUUUAGAACCCAAGUUUGCAUAACCCAAUAUAUGUUCACUGUUACCCAAAAAAUUAUAAUAGUUUUUUAGAACCCAAGUUUGCAUAACCCAAUAUAUGUUCACUGUUACCCAAAAAAUUAUGCUUUUCAAGCGCUAUGUACUGUUUUAUAAUUUCAUUUCCAAAAUUACCCCUCCACAUCCAUGUCAACAGCCAUCUCCCUCUUCAUGUCACGGUUGUGCUUUUAAUAAAUAAACACAAAAAUCUUAAUAGUUUUUUCAGAACCCAAGUUUGCAUAACCCAAUAUAUGUCCACUGUUACCCAAAAAAUUAUGCUUUUCAUGCACUAUGUAUUGUAUUAUAAUUUCAUUUCCAAAAUUACCCCUCCACAUCCAUGUCAACAGCCAUCUCCCUCUCCAUGUCACGGUUGUGCUUUUAAUAAAUAAACACAAAAAUCUUAAUAGUUUUUUCAGAACCCAAGUUUGCAUAACCCAAUAUAUGUCCACUGUUACCCAAAAAAUUAUGCUUUUCAUGCACUAUGUACUGUUUUAUAAUUUCAUUUCCAAAAUUACCCCUCCACAUCCAUGUCAGCAGCCAUCUCCCUCUCCAUGUCACGGUUGUGCUUUUAAUAAAUAAACACAAAAAUCUUAAUAGUUUUUUCAGAACUCAAGUUUGCAUAACCCAAUAUAUGUCCACUGUUACCCAAAAAAUUAUGCUUUUCAUGCACUAUGUACUGUUUUAUAAUUUCAUUUCCAAAAUUGCCCCUCCACAUCCAUGUCAGCAGCCAACUCCCUCUCCAUGUCACGGUUGUGCUUUUAAUAAAUAAACACAAAAAUCUUAAUAGUUUUUUCAGAACCCAAGUUUGCAUAACCCAAUAUAUGUCCACUAUUACCCAAAAAAUUAUGCUUUUUAUGCACUAUGUACUGUUUUAUAAUUUCAUUUCCAAAAUUACCCCUCCACAUCCAUGUCAGCAGCCAUCUCCCUCUCCGUGUCACGGUUGUGCUUUUAAUAAAUAAACACAAAAAUCUUAAACAAAUUAGCAAAACCCACGCAACACCCGACUCUGAAAUUUGGGGAAACCAGGUUAGGGCAAAUGGAGAGAAAGUCACAGAGAGUCCUUAGCUUCUUUCUCUUCUCUCUUUUCUCUCUGUUGUGUGAAUUUCUCAGUGAAAAAUCGAAUAAUCGAUUCAUGCGUGUCUUCGUACUAUUGAUCCGCAAAUUUCUUCAGAUAAAGCCCACGCAACACCCGACUCUAAAAUUUGGGGAACCCAGGUUAGGGCAAAAGGAGAGAAAGUCACUUCGCUCUCUUCUCUCUCUUUUCUUUCUGUUGUGUGAAUUUCUCAGUGAAAAAUCGAAAGGUUGUAAGCUGUAAUCGAUUCACGCGUGUAGCCGUACUAUUGAUCCGCAAAUUUCUUCAGAUAAAGUGAUUUCAUCUCCAGGUUCUCGCAUUCGUUUAGAGAUUUCCACUCUGUUAUGAGCUCUCUUACACUAUUCAAGUUAGAUUCGCUUUCUAGUCCUUCUUUUAGCUUCUGUUUGGUUGCUCAGAAAACUGAGGUAAAUGAGGAAAAUAUGAGGCAAAACUUAUAUGAUUUUUUUUUUUUUUUGUAUUGUUGUUGGUUUCUUUGCAAUGAAAGAGAGCAAAUGUUUAGGCGCAACUGUAAAUCUCGAGCUUUGUUCUUUAUUCCCAUUUUUUUUUCUUCCGGCGACCACACGAACGAACGAUAAAUAUGUACAUUUUUGUGUAUUCUUUACUUGGUCUUUCCUGAUUACUAUUUUUGUUUGGGAAUUUUUUUCAUUGAUUUCAUGCAUCUGGAACUAUUGAGUGCAUGUAAUUUAGGUUUCUGGCCUAAUUUUUGGAAUUUAGGUUCUCUUGAGAUUGACAAUUAAUUAUUGUUUUUAUUUUUAAUUGCAAUUUAGCACCUGAGGAAAGCUGAACUUCUGCUGUGUGAUUAGAUGGUUAGUUUGUGACAUGACUGAUUUUCUCGAAUAUCUAUGUAAUUUCUGCUCUGUGGGAUGGUUGAUUUUGUUUGACCUUGAUUGAAUUUUUAAACUCUUUUUUCGCUCUUGGAUUCGGUUCUUGAGGUAAGAUAAAGUUGUGGGUAUGUUUUUAUUUUAUUUGUUUUUGUGUUCUUUUAAUAAAAGCUUGCUGUUUUUUUGUUGGGUGUUUGUUUAUUAAUGUUUUUUUAGCACUUUGUGUGGAUUGAUUGAUUGUAAUCCUAAUUUUCUGUGCUUCUUCUUAUUUUUUUUGUUUUUUUUUUUCUGGGUUUUUUGGUUUAAUUCGUUCGAGGGUUUUGUUUAAAGGUGGUAAGGAGCAGAUUAUAUAAGCCUGUGAACAUGUAUUCAAAGCUGGUUGGAUUGAGGAAAGCUGAACUUCUGAACUUCUGCUGUGUGAUUAGUUGCUUAGUUUGUGACAUGACUGAUUUUCUCGAAUAUCUAUGUAACUUCUGCUCUGUGGGAUGGUUGAUUUUGUUUGACCUUGAUUGAAUUUUUUAACUCUUUUUAGUUAAAUGUUAAUGGAAACUGAUGCAAACCCUAAUGAGUAGGUCCGACAAUAUGAGCUCUUGGGAAUUAGGACAUGUUUGGGAGACAAAGUUGGAGAAUUCAAGAACAGAUGCCAGAGGCAGUAUAAGCUAUUUGAACCAAAACCCACCUCCCCUGCCACCUAAAGAGCUGUUUUUUAAUUUUUUUAAAAAAAUUAAGUUUAUAAUUUGUUUUUCCUUUUUUAAUGCAUAGAGCUUCACAUCAGACAGCAUGGUUUUGGGGAAUUUAGUUUAUGGUAUGCUGCCUUCUCUGCUUGCAUAUUAGUUUCUUCCAUCCAUUGAAAGGCUACUGAUAUGGGAAUUAAUUGGCUAGCAUAAUUCAGGUUUAUUAAGAUACAUCAUUAGUAUUAUCUGGAUAAAAAGGUUCUAUCUGAUUUUCUGCACUGGUUUUGACUUAUUUGCACUUGAUACUUAAUAUCAAGUCUCGGCAAAGUACUUAAGAUUGUCCUUAGGAAAAUGCGUGAAUAAAGUUUUGAAAUGGUUUGAAUAGAAACAAAUAUCAAAUUAUCAUAAUUUCUUUUUGGUUCGGAAUUUUGAUUGCUAACUGAACUGUCUCUACAUUUUUUGAGUGGUAACCAGCUUCUUGUACUUCUUAGUUUCCCUGUCUUACCUUAAUGGAUCCAAUUAUUUCUGUUUCCUGCAUUUCAAAUUAGGCAUAGGUGUAGCCCAGUAUGCUUAAAUCACAUGGUGAGCAGUGAUAUUUGUUUUUUUCCUUCAUGUGCAAUUGAAAUUUUUUUGAAUUUCCAAUCCGCUACCAAGUUAUAGGGCUCUAAUUGAUAUCUGUCAAUUCAUUGAAAUUGAAAAGUUAAGGAACUCUGUUGUCUAGAUCAAUUUCUUAAUGUUAUAACUUCUAUUAUCAUAUUCAUAUCAUCUGCAGAUUCUUCUGUAUUAUAAAUUAUAAAGAUCAGGCUUCUAUUACUUAAUUUUGUUUCUAGUGGAAACUGAAACGUAUUACUAGGUCAUGAAAAAUCAUCAAGAUACUCUUAAUUGUGUGAAGGAAAAUGCCUGUAAUGAUCAGUCAUUUAAAAAGGAUUUAACUUGAUCUAAAUGUGAACUUAUAAUAAGCUUGAUAAAAGGUCAGCCACUGUGACUAGUGAAUUGUUUUUUCCCUCUUCUAAAGUGAGGAAGUCCUGGACCAUAAGCCUUGGAAACAAAGAUGGAACACACACAAACACGGAAUAACCAUCAACCAGCAGCAUUCAAUUAUUCUAAGGGUCAACAAGUCCUUCUCAUGAUAAUUUUUUUUUUUAAAAAAAAUUUAGUCAAAAUAUGGCCUUUUACGUCUGGCACUCCAGGAUUUUAUUUUCUGUUCUUUGGUUAUCUUUUGCUAGUAUUUUUUGUUUCAUCCAAUUUGUUAUGUUCUGGUGCUUCAUUGUAAUUACUACCUCUACAAUUUCUGGAAUGUGGAAUCAGUUUGUAUCUUAUUACAACGUUUCCCCAGGUGAGUUUAAUGUGAUUGACUAUUUAGUUUUUAUUGCCACUCAUGGUUCUUAUAAAUUCCAAUUUUUUUUUUAAAGUUUUUUUGUACUUUCAUUAAAUUCUCUUAUUACAAAGUUUAUCAACAUUUAAGCUGCAUCAGCCUGUCCUGUAAUUCUUGUUAUUCUUGUUAUUUGAUGAUGCACACCUGUUUUUACUUCUUUCAGGGACAUUUCCCAACGCAUCCUCAUAUCAAGGUUCGCAAUGCCAAGCAUUUCAAUUUUCGAGUUCAUUCCAAUCAGCUUCUUUAGUUUCCAAAGUGAGGUUCCUCUUUCCAGCUAUCCUGAUGUGGAUUUUCACAUCAACAAAAUAAUGGCUGCAACAAAAAUGUGGUUCUCAAAGCACAAUGAAAAUUACACCUUUCUUCCAUGAGGGGGGGAAAGCAUUGCUGUGUGGCUUCUUGUUGCAACUCUUUCUGACUCUGACACUCAGCAUGACAAUCAAAUGAAUGAUUGCCAAACAAAUCCAGUUGGAUGGUGGAGACCAGCUCUCCUGGUGAAAAAUAUGGUCAUCCUGGGAAGUGCAUUAGAUCCAAGGUGCUUUCUAGUGUUUUAAAACAGUAUCUAAAUACAACAUAUACUGUAUCUCAUGUAAUGAUUCUGCUUUAUGUCUUUUUAAAGCAUUGGGAUGAAGGCUUCCUAGUUCUAAACAUUGAGGGGCACUUAAAUGUUCCAUAGAAAAGAAGUGGUUCCAUUGUGUUUUUGCAUGACCUUCUGAAUGUUUUAAUAGCAUUUGUAAUAAAAUUGUUUCAUGGCAUGCAUAGGAUGAUAUUUAAGAUUUCAGGAAUGAUGUGAGUCCAGGUUUUUGGAAACAUAAAUCAUUAUUGUGCCACUUUGGUCUUGUUAUGGGUUUCACCUUAAAGGUGGAUUUGAUUUCCAAGGAACAUUUAAGUGGCCCCCACUUAAUAGAUUAUUAUUCAUUACUUUAAAUCCUUUUAGUACAAGGAGAUGGGUUAAUAAGACAAGUACUAGUGAAUGUUCUUUUCUGGGAAACUAGUAUGAGGAAUAUACUUCUGGAACAUUAAGCAUGAACCUAAAACGUAUCAUGCACUUGAAGCUCUGAUGGACAAUAACUAGUGUUGAAACUAUUAUUUCAACUGAAGUCUGGCCAGGAAUCCACAACUUAUUUUCUUAUUUUAAAAGGCUGAUUGACUGAUGUAGUCAGUAUUUAAAUCAUCUCACUGUGCAGGGCAGCUGCUAUUGGUGCUUCAGCUAGUCAUGGGAUCAUUGGUACACAUGAAGGACUUGUGUACAUGUGGGAAUUGUCUACCGGUACUAAGCUUGGCAGUUUACACUAUUUCAAAGGUAUGUUACACCCUAUAACAAUUUGACUUUUCUCUGAUUUGCUCUUCCUUGGCAUGAAAUUGAUGGUGAUUUAAACUAAGAAGUACUUGUUUUGCAUAAUUAGUCAUGUACCUUCAUCUGUUUCAUUUUCAACUGGAAAAUAAUAUGCAUCUUCCUCCUUUCUGACCCUUGUAUUUUUUGCUAAUUUAAUUUGUAGUUUUGUAUAUUGCACUACUACAUAAUUCUCCAGGUUAUGUUAACUGUCAAGGUUAUUUUUAGGAUAAAGAAUGCUUUCUCUUGAUCUCUAGAUUUUUUAAAAAAAACUAAUUAUCUAGGAGACUGCUUUCCAGAAAAUGGGAAGGAUGUUCAUAAUUCAUUUGUGUAAUAUUUUGCAAAUAUUCAAGUAACUUGCAGAUAUUACCAUAGUUGUGAUAUAAUGCUCAUCUGAUGGCAUAGUGUCCUCUCUUUCCAAGAUUUUGUUUUCCAUAAAAACAAGCGGAGCGUUUACUGGGUCUUUUUGGGUUGAAAAAUGCUUUGACAAUGCAGUUUCUCCCUAGCUUUAGAGGGAGAUAAAGCUUUUGCACAUACAGAAAAGCAGGCUCCAAAUGAGCAGGAGAAUAUAAUGCAAUGUCGGAAGAACUCUAAUUAACAUAUCCUGAUUUAGUUUCUCCCUAGUCAUUAUUGUAGUAUACAUUCGUGAAUCACUGACUCCUGAACAAAAAAAUCGCAUGAAACCCCAAAACUCAGCUCUUUCAUGAUCUUUUAGUCUUUUAGCUAAUAUAGUCAACAGUUCAAAAAGUUUUUAGCUUUUGAUCACAAACGCAAGUUUGUGAAAUCAUGUGGUUUAGAUGUACAACAAGGAAAAUAUGAAAUUAACUGCUAAAUUUCUUUCAGUUGAUUCAGAUUGAAGAAGAGCUUGGGGAAAUAGCGGUUUAUGCUGGCGAAGAGUGGAGGCAGUUGUGAUCAAUCUUUCCAGGUCUUUAUACCCACAUUUUUUCCCUCCUGGUUCCUUUUUUAAUAUGUUAAGCUAUACUCAGCAACUAGGUCAUUCUAGAUUCCAAUGCAAAGUUUUGCAUCCCUUCCCAUUUUUUUCGUUUUUGAUUUAAUUAAUGAUUGUUUUCCUAUGGUAAUAGAGAGACAUGUCUGAGGUGUGUUGAACAGAGUUGUCUGUUUUUAUGAUGGAUGGGGUUUGUAGUUUUUCUAUAUUGGCAAUACUAGGAAUUUGUAACCGAAAUUCCAAAAUUUCAAUGGAUGAUCAUAUAGAGAAAACACAGACAAUUGGGGAAGGUCUAUUACAUAUGAAAAGGAGCUCUAAAAGUAGCCAACAAGCAGUUUAAAACUGUACAAAAUGAUUAUGGAAUGACCCUGAAUGAAAAUUCAGAGGUUGAGGAGGCCAGUAAUGAAGAAACUUUUAUCCCUGAAGCAAAAUUCAAAUUUGUUGACAUUGAAGAGUUGGGUCCUUAUGUCAAUGGGAAGGAGCUUGUAGGUAAGAACCAAUCUUAGAAUCAACGAAGGAUUAUUUUCCUGUUCACUUGUUCUUUUGUUUAAUAUGACCCAUAUCAUUAUUAAUUCCAGAUGUUAGUGGAGUUGUUCAAAGUGUCUCUCCUACAAUGAGCAUACGAAGGAAGAGUAACAAUGAGAUUGUUCCUAAGCGUGAUAUUACUAUUGCGGACAAGACGUGAGUGUAUAUUUUAUUUUUUGCACUGGUCACUUUGGUCUAAUGUUGCUUCAUAUUGAACUUAUGGACGUUUCAAUUGUAGGAAGAAGAGUGUUGUGGUCUCUUUGUGGAAUGAUCAUGCUACUAAUGUAGGGUAGGAAUUGUUGGAUAAUGCUGAUAAAUUUCCAAUUAUUGCAAUUAAAUCUCUCAAAGUUGGAGACUUCCAAGGUAAUUCCCCUUGUUUUCUUGAGUUUGGUAUUAUUAUGGCAAUUAAGCACAUUCUCAAAAACUUGAGAAUGAUAAGAAGUCCUCUUUGUAAUGUUCUCUUCAUAUCUUGUUUUAGGAUUACAUGAAAAGACAAUAUUUAAUUUGGAGUAAAAUGAUGACUAUGAUAGGACAUGGUUACAACUCUGUAACCAAAACUUUUGAUUGGCCAACUGAAAAAUGGGAAGAAUAUCUAUAGGUAGUUUUCUUAUGGAUUUGAGUGAAUUUUAAAAAUAAUUGUCUUAUAUAUGUAUGCAUGACUAAUUUGUUGUUUAUCUUGUAAAAUAGAAAUAUCUAGAAGCUAAACAAUUUUGUUUUAAACCAUUAGCAAAUGUGGAAGAAUUAGAGGUAUUGUUUGGAGGAUUGCUAGCUACUGGGUCUAAAAAUUGGAGCUUUGGAGGAGUGAUAGCUUCUGGGGCUGAGGAAUCAUCAACACAUUCUACAUCUAUGCCUAGCGAAACUUCAACUAAUUUAGAAGAAGAUGAGAAUUUGCCAAAAAAUACUAAUGAUGAAGCAGAAGGUUUUAAGAAAAAAUAGAAGAAAUGAAAGAAAUAGCAAACUCAAGAAGAAAUGAAUAGAAUAAUGAAUGUGUUGGAGAAUUUUGAAGGAUCCUCAGUCAAAUAAUGCAUGAAGAUUUUGAAGAGGCACUUGACUUAUGAGGAUCCAUUAUACUAUGUAGCAAUUAAUGCGUUUUGCAAGAAGAAAGAGUAUAGAGAGGUGUGGGUGGAGAUGGAAAGUGACAAAGAGCGAAUGGAAUGGAUUCAAAGCUUGCGAAAAUAACUUUUUAAAUAUUUGUUUUAGAUUUGUGGAAUGCAUAUGGUAUAUGGCUUAUUUGAUGAUUGUAAUUUGGUACAUUUGGUUUGUUUUUUUUUUUUUUUAUAUUUGAUACAUUUAAACUUUUCCAAUUAUAAGAUUUUCUCUCUACAUUUUAUGGAUAUUUGUUUUGGAUAUUUGUUACUCAUAUAUUGUUAUAACUAUUUGAUUAUAUUGUUAUGCUUAUAUUUCAUAACUAUUAUUUUUUUUAUAAUAGAUAUUCUUAUGGAGAAUCCUUCACAUCACUCAAAUAGUUCAAGUUCAUCAUCAUCAAGUGAAGAUGAAGAUACAAAGUUAGAAAUUACAAGAGUUUUUAAAAAAAAUUGGUUGUGUUGUUGCUCCAAUUAUUAAGUGACUCAUCUAUUAAUAAGGAACAAGUCUCUACAUCAUCAUUUACAGGUUCACUUUUCACUCAAGAGCUUUUAGAUGGUUCAUCUAGCACAUGUUAUGAACUAAUGCGGGUGGAAAAACAUUGAUUUAUUUCUCUAUAUCACAUGUUUCAAGAAAAAUGAUUGCUUGUUGACAGUAAACAUUUGAAUGUUGAAGAGAAAAUGGUCAUGUUUCUUAUGACUAUUAGUCAUAAUCUUUGGAAUCGAUUGAUUAAGAAUAGAUUCCAACACUCAAGUCAAACAAUUCACAAAUACUACCAUGAGGUUUUAGUGGCCAUGGUGAAUUUCUCAAAAGAGAUGAUCACUCCUUCAUCAUUCAAUGAUAGUUCAAACGGUAUCUCCAAUUGUCGGCUAAGACAAAUUUUUUAAGGUAUAUUAUUUUUUAUUUCUAAUUAUUGAUAUCAUAUUUGUAUUAUUCUCAUAUAGAAAUAAUUAUCUAUAUUUUAAAGAAUUAUUACCACGUAGGAUGUUGGUGCAAUUGAUGGAACUCUUAUCCAUGCAUGCAUUCCUACUAAUCAACAAGUACCUUAUCGAGGUCAUGGGAGAGGAGAAUGUUUUCAGAAUGUUAUGGCAGUUUGUGAUUUUGACAUGAUAUUUAGGUUUGUUGUUGUUGGAUGGCAAAAACAACUCAUGAUUCAAGAGUUUUGACAGAAACUAUCCAUAACCCACAACAUAAUUUUCCAAUGCCCCCAUUGGGUAAAUAUUUUAUUUUCAUUUUAUUUAAUAUAAUUUUUAUUUAUUCAUUAUAAUAAUCAACACAAUUUUUUUUUUUCCAGAAAAAUAUUAUUUAGUAGAUGCAGUAUACACACACACUCGAGGUUUUAUGGCACCAUAUUGUAAUGUACGCUAUUAGUUAAGUGAUUUUUGUAGUAGUGGUAAAGUUGUAGGAAAAGAGGGGAUAUUCAACCAAUGCCAUGCAAGAUUAAUAAAUGUCAUUGAACGUGCUUUUGGUGUUGUUAAGGCACAUUUCCCAAUAUUGAAGAGAAUGACACCUUAUUCGUUUACUACUCAGACAAAAAUUAUCAUGACAUGCUUCUCCAUUCACAAUUUUCUUCGAAAAAUCUCAAUUGCGGAUAGAUUAUUUUUUGAAUAUGACAAUGAAGUGGAAUUGGAAAGUGGCAAUGCAAAUCAAAAUCAAAACUCAACUACAAGCAGUUUCUUUGCAGCAUCUGAUCAAGAAUUCAUGCAACAGUUCUGAGACCAAAUCACAAAUGAAUCAUUUCAAGUAUUUAAUUAACUUGCCAUUUUUAGCUUUUUACCAUUGUAAGAAAUGCAAUGUUUAGAUAUUAGCAUAAAAUGUGAUGUCUUUGGAUAUUUGAAAAUAUGUACUUGAAUUGUUAUGUUUUUUAUUUAAUUUAAUUUAGCUUUUAUCAAUCCAUUAUUUUUUAGAUUAUUAAGUUUAAAUAUUUUAUUUUAAUUAUAUAAAAAAUAAAUAUAUUAAUGAUUUUUUGUAAGGAUGACAAUGAUAAGUUAUUUAUUAUAACAAUGUUAUUAUUUUGAACUUUUUAGAAAUACGUUAAAUUAUAUUUUUUUAGUACAUUAAAAUAUUAAGAUAUUGGUUUUUAGUAUAUAAAAAAACAAACAACUUAAUACUUAAUACUAUUAAGCAUUAUUUAGUAUUAAGUUAAAUAUAAGUUAUAUUUAAAAUUAAGCCAAAAAAACAAACGUCACCUAAGUAAUCGUGCUUUUAUCUUUUCUCUUAUGAUUUUAGCUUGAUUGUGGUUCUAACUUUUUGCUUACCUAAAAUCUUUUAUAUUUCAUAAAACAAAUUUCAUCUAAAAAUUAAAAAUGAAAAAUUAAUCUUGAUUAGUCCGAAGAGUAAUAGAUUAAACAAAUAGGCCCUAAAAAUGCACAAAUUAUAUAAUUAACUCUUGAAAAGGUAUAGUUACUUGACAAUUUACAUUGAUGAGAAAAAUGGAAUUGAAAUACUUUUAUUCUUGAUAAUAUAUUCUCUUUUCAAGUGACUAUUGAUAUCAUUAAAAAUGAUGACCCUAAACUACGUCUGAAACAUUGUCCACAAAGAAAAGGUUGGUUAAAAUGGAAAGAAGUUACUUAGGUAGAAUUAGACUCAUUGACAAAAUGAGAAAUAUUUAGACAUGUAGUUUGCUUCAAGUUCUCAAGCCAGUCAAAUACAAAUGAGUAUUCGUAAGAAAGUAUAAUGAUAAAAAUGAAAUUACAAGAUAUAAAGUGUGACUUAUAGCUUAAGGUUUCUUGUACAAACGAAGUGUUGACUACGAGAAUGCAUACUCUCCGGUAAUAGAAAUAAGUACAAAAAAUUAUAGAUGUCACCAUUUCUCAUAUUAAACUUUUCAACUAUGCAUGUAACUCUAAUUAUCAAAGCAUUUAUUAUUCAUUAUGAUCAUAACCCUAUGAAUAGGGGUUGGAAAUUUAUACGCUCUCUUAUUUUCUUCUCCCUAAUUUCUCUACCUUUACAACAAAAGUAAUCUUCGCCUUAAAAUAUUUCUAAAACUAUCAUGUUUUGUGCAAAGUAGAAUGUGCGAGAAACUCACCUUUUAAAAACACUACUACAAAAAUAAUUUAUGGUGUCACUAUUUAUGGUGUCACUUUUAAAAUAAUGACACCAUAGAGUUUAUAAUUAAUAAAGGUGACACAUCAUAUAAAAAAUCUUCAAUUGAGGUAGUUAGAUGAUGUUAGUUUUAUAUUUAUAGUGUCAUUUAUCGGGAAGUGACAUCAUAUAAAAUAAAUUUUUUUAAGUAUUAUAACUUAAUGAGCUCACUUUUAGAAUUAAUAAUGAGGGAUAAUAUAUAAAAAGUCCAUUGUUUCCAUAUGUCACCUUGUAGACCCUCAAUUUUGUCCCUUGACACUUGCAUUUAUCCUGUAAGUGUCACAUGCACCCAUGCUUUCAUAUGGCACUAUUAGGGCCUCCUUUUGGGCUUAGUCAAUUUUUUUUUUAGCCUUGUUUAGGUUUGUAUGUGGUUCAUUGUGGUGCGAGUAUGGUUCAUUUUGGAGUGUCAUCGUGGCCAUUUUCUUAGUUGUUGGCAUCAUGCCAUAGGAAGGAAGUGGGGCCAUCCCAAAGUUUUAGCUCAGUUGGAGUUUAUCGGAGUGUGUCUGAGCUCGGAGCACUUGGGCCUAUUUUGGCCAUAUCUCCCUCAUCCAACCUCGGAAUUGCGCAUUGUUUUUUUUUUUUUUUCAUGGACUCCUUAUUCUUCAAGGAAAAUUUUGUCAAAAUUUCAUAAUUUUUCUCAACCGGCUCGACCAGUCCCCAAAGUUUCAGUUUAGGAAGAAUGCAUGGGAGCAAGUCCGAAUUCGGAGCACUCGGGCUUGUUUUGGCCAUAUCUCUCUCAUCCGACAUCAGAAUUGCACACCGUUUUUUUUGUGGACUCCUUAUUCUUCAGGGAAAAUUCUGUCAAAAUUUCAUAAUUUUUCUCAACCAACUCGACCGGUCCCCAAAGUUUCAAUUUAGGCAGAAUGCAUGGGAGCAAGUCUGAAUUCGAAGCACUCGAGCUUGUUUUGGCCAUAUCUUCCUCAUCCGACCUCGGAAUCACACACCAUUUUUUUUUGUGAACUCCUUAUUCUUCAUGAAAAAUUCUAUCAAAAUUUCAUAAUUUUUCUCAACUAGUUCAACCAGUUGGCGUUCGAUUCAACCGGUUCAUCAAGCUAGCUUGUAUGGAGCAUUGGUUUUGAUGAUUUUGAAGCCUAAUUCCUACAUGGCUUGGGCCCAUAAGCUCCGGAUCGGUCUUGGGCUAUAUUAUGGGUCCAUUUUGGGCCAUGGUUUGGGUUCCUUGUAGCCCACCAUGAAUCCAUAUGGAUCCUUGGUGGUGAAGCAAGCUGAAAACUUAAAGGUGUCAGCUUGCAUGGAGAAUUGGUGAGGAGAGUUAUUGGGGAGUGUGGUUUCGAGGUUGAAGGAUUGUUUUCCAGAGCUGAAUGCAUAGGAAAAUGAAUGGAAGCUGGAGGAACAAAGGGGUCUGAUAUAAAAGCCAAAAAAGGGGAAGAAGAGGGGGACUUCUCUCUAGAUUCUAGGAGGAAACUUUGUCAAAACAGUGAAAGCCAAAUGAGAAGAGGAUGGAGAGCUUAAAAAAAAGAGAGAGGGUGGGGGAAGAGUUUUGGACCUGAGAAAGUUCUGUGUGUUGGGAGAGAAAGGAAAAGAAAGAAGAGAGAAAAAAAUGGGAAAAAAGGAACAGAGGAAAGAGUGAAGGAGACGGAGGUUUUGAGAGAUUUUCUGGUUGUAGAGGGAGUAGUUUCUUGUUCGUGCUGUUGAAGAGGAAGACCUUGAUUUCUGGAAGCGGAACUUGGACGUUUGCUACCCCAAUGACUUCAUUUCUACCUUGGCAUCUUCAACGCAUGCAUAGGUAACUCUUUGAUCCUGCUUUCUACUAUUUUAUAUUCUCUUUCUUUUUGAGGUUUGUUGCAAUAAUCUGUUCAGACAAGAAAAUGAGGGCCUUUGCUGAUUAGUCUUUGGGUCAAGUUUGUAAGUUGUCUGAGACUAUGCAUGUCUGAUUCAACUGAGAGUGAGUCUGUUAUUUUUUGAGCAUUCAAAACGGUCAUUGGAGGUAUAUGAAAGAUAAGGCUGGGAUCCUUGCAUUUUCAUUAUUGCAUGCUUAAGCUCCCAUGUAUGGUGUGGUUUGUUUUGUGAACAAAGCAAGUAUUUCUCUCAUUAGCAACUAGUUUUUAUUUGAGAAAAAGUCUCUUUGGACUGUUUUGUUUGGAAUUUGGGGUAGACCAUUUCAGUUUUUCAAUUAGGAUUAAAGGUUAUGGCAUAUUGGCUGAGCCACUGUGCUCAUCAUUCAGCCAUUGGGGCCUCGUUGGUCCUAGAUUUGGCAAGGGAGGGGACAUGGUGUUCAUUUCCUUUGAUUGUAGGAAAUACGAUUAAUUUGUUUGGGAAGUAGGCCCUUUCAUUUGUGGCCUUGCCCUUUUAGGCAUGCAUGCUAAAGGCUUAUGGAAAAAUUGCAUCUACUAAAGCAUUGGCUUAAGUGGCGAAUUUUCGAGAAAACAAUGCAUUUUGGGUGGCUCGGGUUUGGCCUUUUAUGGAACACAUCGCAUUGUUUCUGCCGAUUCUCCCUUAUCCGGGCUCAGAAUUGAGUGUUGUUUAUUUUGUUGGAUUCCUUAUUCUCUGAGGAAUAUUAUGGUAAAGUUUCAAAUUUUUUUUCAAUCGAAUGAACCAGUUGGGAACCGGUUCAACAGGUGGCUUGGUGGCAGCCCUGUUUUUUAAAUGCUUUGCAUUGUUUCGGCCGGCUCUCCCUCAUCCGGGCUUGGAAUUGAGUACCGUUUGUUUUUUUGGAUUUCUUAUUCUCUGAGGAAUAUUUUGGUAAAGUUUCAGAUCUUUUAUCAACCAGUUGAGUCAGUUGGAAACCGGUUCAACCGGUUCUGCUAGGUAGUUCCAGUUUCAGCGUGUUUUGGCCCCUAUUUUUGUUAUGGUUUGGGCACUUAGGCUCCAAGGCACUUGUAGGCCACCUUUAGGGUUUGAAACCAGAUUUGGUUUGAAUUAAUGUGGGCCCACCUAUGAGUUAAGGGUAUUAUUGGCUAGGAAGAUCGNNNNNNNNNNNNNNNNNNNNNNNNNNNNNNNNNNNNNNNNNNNNNNNNNNNNNNNNNNNNNNNNNNNNNNNNNNNNNNNNNNNNNNNNNNNNNNNNNNNNACUAACCCCUCAUUGCAGCGCUUGGCUAGGGACCCAAGGUACGUACUUUGACCCAUGGUUUGAGCUCAUUUGUAGGCCUUGGUAUCUAGUGAUUGAUGUUUUGACAUGUGAUUGCCAUGCAUGCUUGUUGAGUAUUUAUUCCUAUUGGCUAAUCAUUUAUGCAGCGCUUGGCUAGGGACCACAGGUAUGUGUUUGAUUGUUCGAUUUUGUGUUAGUUUGCCCACAUGGCAUUUGGAUUGCAAUUCUUGUUGUGCAUUGAUGCUUAUUGACUGAUCUUUUCUACAGCGCAUGGCUAGGGACCUCAGGUAUGCCAUUUGUUGAUUUAUUGAGUGCCUAUGCAUGCUAGAUAUCGAUUAGGUUUGUGUGAUUCGUGUUGUCUAUGAUUAGCCUAAGAGGCUAUUUGAUCCUUGACCUAUAUACUCCCACAUGCCCAAUUCAAUAGUAGAGACCGAGUUUCAGGCCUAGAGAGGUGCUACCUCACAUGAGGUACCUUCCCGAUAGGUAACCUGAUCCCCGGACCAAGACUUAAGUUUCGUAAACCACUUUUUCCAUACUAGAGUCAUCAGGGGUUUUUAUUCUUACUUAAUUUUUCCCCUUUAAAAAACAAAAAUAAGAAGUAAGUGGCGACUCCAAACAAAACCAUUCCUCAUUGGGGACGGAUUUUUUUUCAAAACUCGAAAACCAUUUUUCCAUUCCAUUCCACACCACUCUUUAAAAAAAAAAAAAAAAAGAUAGCAAGUCGCACCAUCCGAGUGGAUCGGGUGAGGGUCCACACACCUACAAUAAAAAAAAUCUCAAUAUAUAAACCCUAUAUAUAAAACCAUAAUCUUCUUCUACAUUUUCUCUCAACCAUAGUCAACACGCUCACAAUCGACAUUCUUCACUUUGUGGACUCCCAGGUAACACAAAAUCUCUUAGAUCUAUCAUUUUUUUUCUUUAAUUAAUGUCAUUAUAUUAAUUGUUUCAACAUCUUUGUACUAUGUUUUUUGUGAAUUGUGUUUUCUUGAGUUGUGGGGAAGAAAAACUUAGGUUUAAUCUUCUAGCAUAGAAGAAAAAACUGUAGAUUAAUUGAUUUUUUAAUCUAAACCAAACACAUGAUCAAGUCCUUAAAAAAUAGUGAAAAACAUGAAAAAAUGAAUGAUUUUUAAUGACUAAUUGUGUGAGAAUGAAGGUACAAAAAUCCCCCAUAUGGUGAACAUGUUCCUUGUCUGAAAUCUGAAAUGCCCCAUUGUAUUUCUCCAUGUGAACCUUUCCAUCCAAUAUAAUUGGCCUGAAGAAUGCUAGGUCAUUCACUACUUCCAUCAUCUCUUUGGUGAUUCCGGUCUCCGCCCAUGGCCAGAGAUCCUCGUAGCUCCUUCGGAAGUAGUCCAGGCAUGCAUUAUAGGAGAAUGGGUGCUAUUUGGUUGAGAUUGUAAAUCUGUGCUUAACAAGAUCGAAACCCUCUCAGAUUCAUCAGAUCCGAAUUCAAACUCGCCGAUGUUGGGAUUAUCGUUUGCAGCCUCUUCUGCUGGCUCUUGAUUCAGCCUCCGCGAAAGUCAUGUAGCCGGUGCUGGAGUGGUUGUUCAAGUUGUAUUCGCUGGGACUGAUCUGUGGCGUGAUUGAUGGGAAAUGGAUGAUAGAGGCGGUGUAAAAAUCGGCCAACAGCGGUGAUGACGUGGUCGACCUCGCCGUGCUUAAGGUUCUUCCCUUUGCGAUUCGAUUGCCAGUGGUGGAAGUUUUGAAUGGGUCUAAAUGUGAUGGGAAAAUUGGAAUGGAUCAGUGGGUAUAAAAUUGAAUGGAUCUUGAUUUCCUGAUUUCUUGAUUUCCUGAUUUCUUGAUUUCUUGAUUUUGUGAUUUCUUGAUUUCGUGAUUUCUUUUUAAGUGGAAAUGUUGAUCAAUAUGAAGAUCAUAUUGCAUACGCCUUUAUCUCUCUUGUAAUUGUGUGUCUAAAAAUCCUCUUGUCUGUCAUGACAAGCCCAUCAAUGGCCUGUUGCUGUAUAAUCCUGCACUUAGAAUACCAAUUCCAUACCAUUACAUUGAUUUCAACCAAAGAAAAUCCAGAUUCGUUUCAAUUUUCUCCAUUAUUUUGAAAAUCAACCAUCAUUUUCUUCUUUUAUGACUUCCAGACCUUAGAAUUUCCUUAGGUACAUAGGUGAGGACCAUGUGGUUUCUCUAUUGGUACUACCUUGAAAACGCAAUUUCAAAGUGCAGUGACUCGGGUCAGCACAACCUUUGAAUUGCCCCACCUUUGUGGGGACUUGGGCAUUUUACUCACUGAAUCACUAAAAUAGAAUUGUCUUUUCAAAUUUUAUUUUAUUUUAUUUUUCUCCAGGCUGGCUAGAAAUAUCUACGAUUGGAUUUAAUUUAUUUGUACCUUAAUUUAGGUGAUAUUUGUUAAAACUAACACUUAGAAAUUAAAUUCCAAAAAUACCCCUAAGCCACAUGUCUUUCACUCAAAUAUGAGCCACAUGCUACAACAAUAUCAAACCUUCACUUAAUCAUUGGUUUAUUAAGGAUGAGAGUGAAAAACUCAUAUUUAAUACAUUUGCCAAUCAAGCUUGUAUUUCUAUGGUUGUGGGCAAACGUGACCCAUUAAAAUAACAUGGCAAGUAGAGGUCUUAGAUGAUCGUGUUCAUCAACCUUUUACUUUAUCCUAACAUGAUUAUGAUGUCAACCAAUUACAUACUUAUUAAUGAACUCUUUGGAAAUGAUAAGCUAGAAAUAUUUAUUUCAAAGUGGGGCCAUUCCUCUCACCAUGAGGUACAUAACCCAACUACCCAAAUCCCAUGUAUGGUGGUUUUCACAGUCAAAAAAUAACUCAAAAGCUGUCAAUUCAAUAUAUAGUCUGAUAUAAUAUUUUUAUAAAUAUUUUGGACUAAAUUAUGAAUUUAUGGUCCCACGGCUUCAACUACGGAUAAGUCUAUUAAUGCAAACAAAAAGACUAGUACUUUUGAUAAAUUUUAGUAUUUAUCAAAUUUAUGGUUGUAGCUAGUUGACAUUUAGUAUUUAUAAAUUAAAAUUUUAGUACUUAAAUUUAAUAUUUGUAAGUUAUAUAAAUGACUUUCAGCAUGUAAUAUAUAUUAAUACACAUGUUCAUACUUGAAAUGUUACAUUUUUUUGGAUUAUUAGUUUAAUUUAAUGGAGAUGAAUAUUUAGUGGAAAAGUUACAAUGUAUUAUUGAAAAUAUGACUUGAUAGUUGAUUAUGGAUAUGUGUCAUUUUUAGUAUAAAAAAAAAAAAAUUAAAUCUGUAACAUUUUACAUUGAUAAUAUAUUAUUUUUGUAACAGGUUCAAAUAGUAAGUAAUUCAUUAUCAAAGAAGUUACUGAAAGUGUAAGUGUACGUUUAUUUAUUGCAUGCUCUUAUAUAGUAUCAAUUGUAAGGAAGAUAAAAUUACCUUGUAAAGGUAAUUAAAUAUUUAUAUAUUUAAAUUUUUUUUUCUAUAUAUUAUGCUUUUGAAGCUUGUUUAAUGAAACAUAUUAGUUAUUUGACAAACUUUUCACAAAUGUUUUGUAUACUUAUGUGUUUUAUUUUGUUACAAAGUUUUAUGCAUAAUACUUAUGUAUAUUUUUUCACAAACUUUUUACAACUAUUUUGUGUACUAAUGCAUAUUAAUUUUUGUUUUUGUCUAUAUAAGCUACAUUUAGUUAUUUAAAUAUAUCCAAUAUUAUGUUGAAGAAAGAUGUACUUAACUUUCUUUUGUUCUUAAUAUUAACAAAUUUUGCAGUUCUCUUGUCUAGGAUAUAUAUUCCAUUAUUUAAAUUGAAAUGGAAAAUCAAGAUUGGAUGUUAAAAGAUAGAAGGUUGAUUGAGUAUGAUGUUGAAAACUUUAUCAAUUUUGCAUUGGCACAUUCAACCAACCAUACCUCUAUCAAAUGCCCAGGUUUACGUUGUGGAAAUAUGUCAUGUCAAACUCCUCAAGUCAUUAGAGAGCAUUUGUUCUUUAACGGAAUAGAUCUUAGUUAUCGAGUAUGGUAUUGGCAUGGAGAAAAGGGUCCCAGUGUAGGAUUUUCAAAUGUCUCACAACAACGUUAUGACAAAUGCGAGUAUAAUGAUGUUGCUGACACAAUAGAUAUGGUUAAUGCUACACAAGUUAAUUGUAUGAAUGAUCCCCAAGUGUUUGGAAGGUUACUUGAAGAUGCGGAAAAACCUUUAUAUCCUGGAUGCAUGAAAUACACAAAGUUAUCAGCAUUGGUAAAACUUUACAACUUAAAAGCACGUUAUGGUUGGUCUGACAAAGGAUUCUCAGAAUUGCUUCAGUUGCUUGGAGAUAUGUUGCCAUUGAAUAAUGAGAUGUCGUUGUCCAUGUAUGAAGCUAAAAAGACUUUCAGUGCUCUUGGUAUGGAAUAUCAAAAAAUUCAUGCAUGUCCUAAUGAUUGUAUUUUGUAUAGAAACUAGUAUAAGGAUGCUAUUGCAUGCCCAACUUGUGGAAAGUCAAGGUGGAAGAUAAACAAUGAGGGGGGAAAGAUUAAGAAGGGGGUUCCUGCAAAGGUUUUGUGGUAUUUCCGACCAAUCCCUAGAUUCAAAAGGAUGUUCCAAUCCUCAAAAACCGCUAAAUAUCUUAUGUGGCAUGCCAAGGAUAAAGAAUAUGAUGGCAAACUACGCCACCCAUCAGACUCCUUAGCAUGAAACUAGUUGACCAUAUGUGGCCUGAUUUUGCUUCUGAACCGCAAAACCUUAGACUAGCACUCUCAACAGAUGGUAUAAAUCCUCAUAAGUCUAUGAGCAGUAGACAUAGUUGUUGGCCUGUUAUAUUGAUCAUACACAACCUUCCUCCUUGGUUGUGCAUGAAAAGGAAGUUUAUGAUGCUAUCAUUAUUGAUCUCAGGACCAUGACAACCUGGUAAAAAUAUAUAUGUUUACUUGAGUCCAUUGGUGGAUGACCUUAAAACUUUCUGGGAAAAAGGAGUUGAGACUUAUGAUGCACACUUGCGUGAGGUUUUUACUUUAAAGGCCAUCCUUUUAUGGACAAUCAAUGAUUUCCCUGCAUAUGGAAACUUAGCUGGUUGCACUAUGAAAGGAUAUUAUGCAUGUCCAAUAUAUGGAGAAGGAACAUGUUCCAAAAGAUUAAAGCAUGGUAGGAAGAACUCGUAUAUGGGUUACCGACAAUUUCUUCCAUGUAACCAUCCCUAUCGGAGACAAAAGAAGGCAUUCAAUGGUGAAUAAGAUUUUAGGAUUCCUCCUAAAAUUUUGAGUGGGGAAGAAAUACUUGAAAAUUUUGAUCUCAUUCCUAUUUCUUGGGGAAAAAUGAAGAUAAAAUCUCUUGAAUCUGAUGUGAACACAAAUUGUUGGAAAAAAAAGUCUAUAUUUUUUUAGUUAGAAUAUUGGAAAUAUCUUUAUGUCCGUCACAACUUGGAUGUUAUGCACAUCGAAAAGAAUGUCUACGAGAGUAUUAUUGGUACUUUGUUUAACAUCCCAGGGAAAACAAAGGAUGGACUUAAUGCUCGACUUGACCUAGUUAAAAUGAGUUUAAGGUCUGAACUUUUCCCAAGAGUUGACUUGAAACGGACCUACCUUCCCCCUGCAUGUUAUUCACUAUCCAGAAAUGAGAAAAAAAUUAGUUUGUCAAACGUUAUCUAAUUUGAAGGUCCCUGAGAGGUAUUGCUCAAAUUUUAGAAUUUUUGUCUCCUUAGAGGAAUUGAAGUUGUUUGGUCUAAAAUCUCAUGACUACCAUGCACUUAUGCAACAACUGUUGCCAGUGGCAUUACGUUCUAUUUUGCCAAAGCAUGUGAGAUAUACUAUAUCAAGAUUGUGUAUCUUCUUCAAUAAAUAAUGUACAAAAGUAAUUGAUGUGCCAAAAUUGAAUGAAGUACACAAUGAGUUAGUGGUCACGUUGUGCUUACUUGAAAAGUAUUUUCCACCUUCAUUUUUUGAUAUUAUGCUUCAUCUAACAAUGCAUUUGAUAAGGGAGGUGCGACUAUGUGGUCUAGUUUACUUUAGGUGGAUGUACCCAUUUGAGAGGUAUAUGAAAGUUCUUAAAGGAUAUGUUCGCAAUCAUAAUUGGCCUGAAGGAUGCAUUGCUGAGUGCUAUUUAGUAGAGGAAGCUGUCGAAUUUUGUACUAAAUAUUUAUCAGGGACUCAUGCAAUUGGAAUUCCAAAAAAUAACAAUUAUGACAACAAAUUUGGUAGACCUAUAACUGGUGGUCGCUCUACCAACAUUGAUCAUAAAUUGUGGUUACAAGCACAUCAUUAUGUGUUAGAGAAUACAACUAUUGUCCAGCCAUACAUUGAGUAAGAAAAAUAUACCUUUAUUUUUUUUUAUAAUUUCAUAACAUAAUGAUGAAAUCCUAAGUUUGCAUUCCUUGUCUAUAACGUUAUAGAAAACACAUGAAUUGGUUGAAGUCUCAAUACCCUCGACAAUCUAAGAGACAAAUUUGGUUGCAAGAAGAACAUAUGCAUUGUUUUACAUAUUGGCUUAAAGGAAAGGUAAUCUCUUAGUUUUCAGAAAUUAUUUUAAUAUGUUGAAAACACCACAAGUUUCCAAUUAUGUUUUGAUUACACAUAGGUUGAAGAGGCCAUCCAUAACAGGCAAGAUAUUCCCAACACGCUUAGGUGGUUAGCACAUGGCCCUACUCACCAGGUGGUCAAAUAUCCUGGAUAUAUCAUUAAUAGGUGUCGUUACCAUACUAAGGAACGCGAUAUGACAUGCAUCACCCAAAAUAGUGGUGUUAGCAUUUUAGCAAGGACUAUGCAAAUUGCCAGUUCUAAGGAUAAUAACCCAGUUUUUGGUGAACUUUGCUUUUAUGGGGUCAUUAAUGAGAUAUGGGAUCUUGAUUACAACAUGUUCAGAAUUCCAAUUUUCAAGUGUGAUUGGGUUGACAACAAGAAUGGUAUAAAAGUUGAUAAACUCGGGUUCACAUUAGUUGACUUCUCCAAAAUUGGUCACAAAUCAUAUCCAUUUAUUUUAGCAUCACAAGCCAAGUAAGUCUUCUAUGUUGAAGACCAACUUGAUCCCAAAUGGUCAAUAGUUCUCUCAAUUCCUCCAAAAGAUUUCAAGAACAUGGAAGGGCUGGAUGACUUCAUCGAUAAUUGCAUGGAACAUCACCCCUUUAUAAGUUCAAUGCCAGAAGUUGAAUCAUUUGAUGCUAUGGAUGAAUCAGAGGCAAUAUACAUGAGAGAAGACUGUGAGGGCAUAUGGAUUGAAAAAAAUUAAAUAAUAUAUUGCACCCUUGACAUGAGAUAUAAUAAGGCAUUUCACUUAUUAGUUUUCAUGAGUUGCAUAUUAGCUUAGCUUCUAUAUAUUGCUCAUUUAUUCAAAGGUACCACUUCAAUCUUCAUUUAACUAUCUUUUUUGUUGUCCAUGGAACUAGAUUUAUAUUAUUUUUUAUUAUCAUGUUUUGAUUUUAUGCUCACAUAACUUGAAACUCUCAUUCCUAAAUUUCUUUUUCAUUAAAACUAUAAAUAAUAAUUGAAACUAUAUAUGCACUAAUUUAUUUUACUAUUAUCCUCACGAAUAAAUUCUUCAUUAUUGAUAAGAAAUAAAAAAACAAGACAAACUUUGAAAGAAAAUUUCAAAAACUAUAUUUCUGAAUGACCAAUUUAAUUAUAGGAAAUAUAUGUAAGGCUAUACUAAUCUUGAUUUUGAGUCAUUUUACAGGUUUGUUAGUGAAGUACUAGUUUGCACAUUUACUUGAUAUCUUCCACACAAAUAUGGAUCCAGAAGAAAAGGAAACACCAAAAGUAAAGCAUAGAGGUAGUACAUUGAAACUAGAGAUUGCAAAAAAUCGAAGUAAAGGGAUAAAACUCAAGAUUGAAUACAAUAGCCUUGGUAGUCACAUUGGGGAAAAUUCAGUUGAAUUAAGUAGUUAUCUUGGUACAAUAACUAGAACCCAUGUGCCAAUAAUUAUUGAGAGUUGGAGGAAAGUCCCUAAAGAGACUAAGGAGAAGUUAUGGGAUUUGAUCAUGGUAAGUCUAUCUAUAGCUUUCAUAUAUAAUUAUUGUAUACAUUCAUUAACAUGAGCUAACAUGGGUUGCUAUUUUGUAGACAAGCUUUAAUGUGAAUCAAAAUUCUAAGAGGAAUUGUUUCCUACUAAUGGGUAUCAGGUUUCGAACCUUUAAGUACAAGUUGACAAAGAAAUAUAUAUUGCCUUUCAAGAAUGACCUAGAAAAGCUGAAAAAGCCAUCUCCUAUCUACCCAUUCAUACAAGAGGAUCAUUGGAGACAGUUUGUUAAAGAUAGACGUUCUGAACAUUUUAAUGUUAAGCAUUAUUUUUAAUACAUCUUCAAUUUUUACAUUUACAUAGUUUCACCAUGUACUAAUUUUGUGUUUAUAUUUUGUAGGAAUAUUGCAAGGUUUAGAAAUCAAGAAGAGAUAAACACAUUUACAAUCAUUAUCUUGGAAGAAAAUGAUAUACACGUUUUGAGCAAAAUAUAGUAAGUUAUCAAUAUUGGUAAAAAAUUGGAGUAUAUAUAUUUUGUUUAUAAGAAAAUGAUUCCAAUUUUUAAAUGUCAUUUAUUAACUUGAUCAUAUUGAACUAAUGAGUUUUCUUGUUAAAAUUUUUAUAGCUACAAGCAGAAGGGGGUAUUGGUAGGGUUGAUAGAAGUGUUUUAUGGAAGAAAGCACGUGAGAAGAAAGGAAAGUUUAAUAAGAUUACAGAGCUAGUGAUUAACAUGAUAGUAAGUUAGCAUAUUUAUGCCAUUUUAGAGCCUAUAGUGUUAAUAUGUCUAUGUGACUAUGGUUUGUGAUGAUAUCAUUAGGUGUUAAUAGGUAAGAGGCUUAAUGCUAUCAUUUUUAUGAGUAGUUAUGUUAUACAUCAAUUUGUCUAUUAUCCUUUAUAUUAAAACAAUUCAUUUUCUAGCUACCUUGAAUUGGUUGUCUUUGAUUGAUAUGUAAAUCAUCUUCAUCAAAUUAUUACUAAUAUAUGUUUUGUUGUAGGAUGAAUUACUAGAAAAGGCUAAGGAGACUGGACUACCUCCACCUGGUCCAAAUGACAUAUUAUGUCAGGCAUUGGAUAAGCUUGAUCAUCCAAGAUGUGUGGUAGGUCAAGACCAUUUGGUUAGGCCCAGCUCAUACUUUCAUCAACCAUCUGAUGACAUGAAAAAAAAUCAAAGAAGAAAUAUGGGAAAUGGUACGAAAAGAGAUGGAAGAUGCUGCAACAAGACAAGUUAUGUCUCCCCCCACACACCAUUCUGAUAUGGGUAGUAAUAACAUGAGACAACAACUUGUUUUACAACCAGUUGUAGCAGAAAAACCAAUGUUUAAAAUGAUAGAAGAGCCCCAACCACCAGAACCACCACUGAAACACAAGGUAUGCAUUUACUUACUAAUAAUACAAGAUUAAUAUAAGUGAUAUAAAGCCUAUGUAAAUGAUAUUAUUUGUUGUAUUGAAGGUAAUUAAAUGUAAAUUAGCAGUGGAAAGAAAAAGAAAUGUUGUUGCAACUGGUACACUAAUAGAAGAAAAAUGAUAGAAUAGGUUGGUUGUACUAAAUGUUGCACACAAGCCAGAUGCUAGACUCCCAUUUCUAAAUCCAUAUGAGAUUAUCAAUGUUGGGGAUGCUAUUGGCUUUGAGCUUGAUUGGCCAACAAGCCUUGUCAUAAUUAAAACUGAACAUCCUUAGGUAUGUCAUUUUAUGUUUAUAGUAAAUUUGAGUGUAACUUGGUAUUUUAUUGUUUAGGAGUAUAUAUAUCUAACAUUCCUUCCUUUUUCAUAGGUGUUGGAUAAAGGAAAGAAGAAGAUAGUGAAGACACCAAUUAUUCGAAAAUCUAAGCCUCAAAAUCAUUCGACCAUUAAAAAUUUUCAGAAAUUUGUGGAUGGUUGUCUUGGUAAUGACAAGACAUACCCAAUACAGCUCCCCAUUUCACUAUUUGGUGUCGAAUUUCAAACAUAUAUAUCUCGAGAGGAUUGUGAAUACAUUAUUUCAUCUUUAGAGGUGUCAUCAAACUGCAUCCCCUUCCAUUUAUGGUAUGCACAUUUUAUUUUCAUUUGUUAUUAUUUUUUUAAUAUGAGUUGCCCAUGUUGAACGAGAUUGGAUAUGACUAAUGAUAAUUUUAUUUUGGUGUUUUGAUACAAUAAUAGGCACAUGGAUGAUCAACUACAUAUUGCCAAAAAGGAAUCACAAUUUAUAUUUGUUAAUCCUUUUACAAUAUCACGAGCAGACUUUAGUACUCCUCAAAUAGAGAAAAGAGCACAAUUGUUGUCAAAACGCUUAAUGGAGUUCCAAGAUGCUAAAUAUGUUUUCAUACCCUACAACCCCGAGUAAGUGACGAAUAUUAUACUUUAAUUUGAGGUUUUAUGAUUGAUUUAUAUUUCUAAUUAGAUGCUACUUUUGUUUUUAAUGAUUUAGCUUUCAUUGGGUCUUGGUAGUGAUUGAGCCAAGGAAAAUGAUAGUCCACUAUCUUGACCCUAUGCAUCACAAACCAUGUGAGGACUUAAAGGAUAUCGUAAACAUGUAAGUUCUUCCUAUUAUUUUUCAUAGUAUUAUUUAAAAAAAAAAUACAUUCAUCUCAAAACACAUUUUUUAUUAUUAUUUAUAUAUAUUUUAAAACAUAUAACAUUUACCUAUUUUAAAAAUGUACCCAUUGAACUUAUUUACAUAGGGCUCUUCGAAUAUCUACAAAGAAAACAUCUAAGAGAGAGCUAUCUUGGCAACUAGUGCAGGUGACAUCCAAAAAUUUUUCUUUACACAUUAGCUUAUGCAUUUGCACCAUUUAUAUAUAUGAGUAUUAUUGUUAUUUUAUAAUUGAUCGAUUAGUGUCCAAGACAAGAAAGAGGGUUCGAAUGUGACUACUUUGUUAUGAGAUUCAUAAAAAAGAUAAUUUUUUAUCCUACAAUUAUUGCUUCAAAGGUAUUACAAAUUUAAUGAAUUGUACAUAGUUUUAGGCUUCCAAAUGUUAUGCAUUUUAAUGUUAUUUUCUUAUUUGAUUUCAGUUUGGUGAUAAAAAAAACAUAUUCUCAAGUAGAAUUCGAUGAAAUUAGAUGAGAAUGGGCUACUUUUAUGCUACAACUAAUCAUGAUCACCAUGCAUGGUGAGUCCCUUAGCUACUACAUGAAUUUUUCCAUAGGUAUUGUAUAGUAUUGCUUAUUCUUUGAAUAAUGUUUCUAUUUGAAAAAAAGAAAAAAAAAAUAGUUCUUAGAUUUGUUCAUUUAUGAUAACUUCGAUCCAUGUUUAUUUUCUUCAAUAAAAAUCUAUAAAACUCAUUAAACUAUGAAAUGCAGGUAUACACUUUUGGGAGGGUGGAAUGGAGAAUAAAAAGAAAGAAGAAGGCAACAAGAUUUUGGGUUUUUAAAUGCUACUCUUAUGUCAUACGUUGUAGGACAUAAAUGUUACUUUAAUUGGUACUGAGAAAUUUAGAUUUUAGAUGAGACUUUUAUGUCAUUUUAUAGUUAGCCGAUUUUAUGCUUAUGAAAUGGAGGUAUACAUGAAUCUUGGGAUCUUUAACAUUUCUAAAUCAUGUUUUGGUAUGUAUUCACUCUUCUUUUUUUAGUUUUGAUGGAUUUGAUAUGUUGGAUGUACUAUCUUUUUGUGAACAUUUGAUAUACAAAUAUUAUUACAUGAUCAAUGUAUUAUGAGUUAUUCCAGAAACAUUAUAGAAAAAUGAGUUAAAUAUAAUAUGAUUGUUAUAUUUAUGGACAAAAUAUAAACAGGUUAAUCUUACUUAUUAAUUCAUAAGCAUUACAAAAAACUAUAACUAAAAGCAAUCAUAUUUUUCACAAUAAUUUACAAUGAUGUGACACCAUUACUCAAAAGUGAUGCAUUUAAUGUGACAUCAUAACUCAAAGAUGAUGCAUUUAAUGCGACACCCUAUCAUCACUAGAAAUAUAUGAUGCCACUUUCGAAUGGGUCGCCAUUUAUCUACUUUAGUGUCACUUCCAAAUACGUCACCAAUUGGUACCCUCUAUGGUGUUAGUGGAGAAGGUGACGCUAUGUUGUAGUGACACCCUAUGUUUACGGUGGUUCGUCAUAAAUGUCACCAUAUAUCUUUUUCUUUGUAGUGAAAGAUGAUUUCAAUAUAAAAAUAGUUUAUUAAGUGAACACUAAAUUCAUUUUGACUAAACUAUUUAAAUUAAAUUGAUAUGGAGUUCGUCUUCUUUGGAAUUCUAUAUCAUAAAAUAAGUCAAAUUUUAUUGUGAACAGGUCCCUCACAGCAUGAGUAGGUCUAGACAACCUACUCAGUAAUAAGCGAAGGAUUAACGUAAAUGCUAUUAGCAAUUCAAUCGACCAACUUGCAUCCAUGAUCAUGCUUCCAGAUGUCGGCUAACUUGGCAAGGGCAGUAGUGGAUGAGCCCUCCUCUCUCCAAGCUUCCACCGCCAUCUCUCUGGUCUUAUUAAUUCUCUCUCUCAGAUCUCUCCCCUCUUUAGAAUCCAUCAACCCUUUGAGUCACCUCUCCAACUCAGCCCCACUCACAAACCUGUCACCAUUUCUCUGCUCCACACCAAUGGCCAUCUUCAUAUUCUCGACCAAAACAACCUUAUUCAGGUGUUGUUCGGUGUGGAGAGGCCAUGCCACCAUUGGCACUCCCACAGACACCGCUUCCAACACUGAGUUCCACCCGCAAUGAGUCACGAAUCCACCCACGGAUUGGUGUCUUAGCACCGCCACCUGCGGCGCCCAUGACUUCACCACCAUUCCUCUAUUAUUGGUUCUUUCCAAGAACCCUUCUGGCAUAAGCUCAUCCAAAUCAAACCGUUCCACACCAAAUUUUCUUGCUUGAUUUCCUUGCUUUUGUUAUCCAUAGGUGGAAUUUUCACCACCCACAAAAAUCUCUGGCCGCUUCUCUCCAACCCAUAAGCUAUCUCCUUCACCUGCUCCCUCGAGAACGAUCCACGGCUGCCAAAACACAGGAACACGACACUCCUACUCGGCUACUGGUCCAGCCAUGACAAGCAAUCAUGCUUAUGAGUUGGAGCAUCUUCACCAACAUCUGCAAUUAAUGGUCCAAUGCAAUAAACAGACGGACUUGGUCCAUCGGUAACGCAUUCCCCAUUUGUAAUAGCCAUAAGGGCUAUUGGUUCAAGGCCAUCAAACGUAUUGGUCAAAACCCCAUCACAUUUUCGUAGAUCCAGUGAGAACUGUAGUGAUUGGUGAUAACUCCGGUCCUCUCGGUCGAGCAGUGGUUCUAUCAUGUGAGUAGCUAGCGGUGGAGGCAAUCCAGGAAUGUGAAAAACAGUGGUGGGGAGAUCUUUGAAGCUCUUGGUGGUCUGUUUGUGAAUUGUUGGCAAGUAGAGGAUGGCAGUGAGAGCAGUAGCAGAAAAAGCAGUGAAGAAAUAAGCGGGAAUGUUGAGAUAUUAGGAAUGCUUUCCUUAUAUCAUUAUUUCCUUAUAUCAUUUAGUGUUGAGAUAUUAGGAAUGUUUAGAUAUUAGGAAAGUUGAGAUAUUAUGAAUAUUGAGAUAUUAGGAAUAUUGAGAUAUUAUGAAUAUUGAGAUAUUAGGAAUAUUGAGAUAUUAGGAAAGUUGAGAUAUUAGGAUAUUAAUUGUUAUUUCCUUAUGUCAUUCUUUCCUUGUAUCAUUCUUUCCCAUUCUUAGAAUGGUGAUACCCUCUAUAUAUACUCUGUAUAUGAACGAAUGAAAAAACUAUCAUUUAUCAAUUUGAACAUGGUAUCAGAGCCAUGAAAUUGAAAUCCUGGAUAUUUUGUCGCUAUGGUAGUCCGACAGCGAUCAACCAUCCUAAGAUAAGCCCUAAUAUUGAUAAGUCAACCUUCAAAUGCACUCACUGCAAUAAGACUGAUCCCACCAGUCUGGAUAUCCCACAAUUUCAAAGCAACGACUCUUGGUAUGAUCAAGAAAAAAAUGAGGAACCGAGGGUUUGAACCAUAAACCUUUAAAUCAUGUUUAGGUUAUCAACACUUUGUUAUUAAUGAUAAUAAUCGUGAUCAACGGAAGAAGGAUUCCAAGAAAACCUCGACUGCAACUAUUGCAGAAAUAAAAACAGAGGCUAAUGUUGCUGAGAAAGCCUCUGCAUUGGUAGUCGCUACUGAUCAUGGUGGUAAGUUUUUAAAUAAUUUUACACCUGUUAUUAAUAGUGCAUGGAUAAUUGAUUCUGGUGCUACAGAUCAUAUGACUUUUGAUUCUAGACAGGUUUCAACCCUUAGACCUUCCUCACAAAAAAUUGUUUCCACAGCCAAUGGUAACACAACCCCAGUCAUUGGGGAAGGAUCCUUAACUCUUACUGAUACUUUGAAUUUAGAUUCUGUUUUAGUUGUUCCAUCUUUAGAUUACAAUCUUUUGUCAGUUUCUCAAAUCAUUGCAGC